rnacentral:lncRNA from 13 species
AACAUUGAAGUAAUGUUUGAAGACUAUGGCAUAAGGCUGCCCUUGCUGAAGGCACUGAUUGACAGGCUGCUGCAGGACGGCAUGGAGGAGCUUCUGCAGGAGCUAACCACCUCUAGAAGAGUCAAUGAGAAGGAGAAACACGGCUCCAACAUUAUCACUGACUACACAGUAUGUACACAGUCCAUGCAUAUCUCUUCAACCCUAAUCACACCAGGGGACAUACCUGGUCAUUUAGUGGGUUAUUCCUGGGAGAAGUUCAAUACGGACAAUUGAAAUUGGAAUGUCAAUUAUCUUUCUGAAUUGACUGAAUUGAAAUGUAAUUUAACAUAACCCUGGUGACAAGCCUGGUAUCAGAACUCUUAGAUAGUGCUGGACUCAUGAGUGUGUUAGUGUUGGUCUCAUGAGUGUGUUAGUGUUGGACUCAUGAGUGUGUUAGUGUUGGACUCAUGAGUGUGUUAGUGUUGGACUCAUGAGUGUGUUAGUNNNNNNNNNNUUAUGUUUGAAGCCUGAAAUGUGGCAAAAGGUCGCAAAGUUCAAGGGGGCCGAAUACUUUCGCAAGGCACUGUAUAUAUACCAGUCAAAAGUUUGGACACACCUACUCAUUCAAGGGUUUUUCUUUCUUUUUACUGUUUUCUACAUUGGAGAAUAAUAGUGAAGACAUCACAACUAUGAAAUAACACAUAUGGAAUCAUGUAGUAACCAAAAAAGUGAUAAACAAGUCUAAAUAUAUUUUAGAUUUGAGAUUCUUCAAAGUAAUCACCUUUUGCCUUGAUGACAGGUUUGCACACUCUUGGCANNNNNNNNNNUCCAAGGAGCCUCUGACAGAGAUGGACACCAUAGAGGAGGCAGUUGACUCUGACCUAGACAGACAGCUACCAGAACCUAACUCUGAUGCUUUGAAUGAAACGGCGGAGGGCCCCACAUUCUGGAGCCUCACCCCUCUUAAUGGUCUUAAUGGGGUCCAAGACGUGGGGAGGAUAGAGAGCACCUCUAAGGGGAUAGAGGGGACACUGACAGUAGACGAGGACUUCAGUGAAGCUCCCUCCCCCAAGUUGGCUUUAUCAAACUCAACAUUUAACAAGACAACGUCUGAAGAGGUAAGGGGUACCUCUUCUACUCAAACCCCACAGCCAAACACUGGCUCUACUCAAAACCACAACCAAACAGUGGCUGUCAAAUUAACUUUUAAAAGUGAACUAUGAAUAGUACAAGGUGUGUGUGUGUGUGUGUGUGUGUGUGUGUGUNNNNNNNNNNNNNNNNNNNNNNNNNNNNNNNNNNNNNNNNNNNNNNNNNNNNNNNNNNNNNNNNNNNNNNNNNNNNNNNNNNNNNNNNNNNNNNNNNNNNUUGAUACAUCUCUCUCUCUGAUGACAGUGUGGGUGCUGUAGGGAUUGAUACAUCUCUCUCUCUGAUGACAGUGUGUGUGCUGUAGGGGUUGAUACAUCUCUCUCUCUGAUGACAGUGUGGGUGCUGUAGGGAUUGAUACAUCUCUCUCUCUGAUGACAGUGUGUGUGCUGUAGGGGUUGAUACAUCUCUCUCUCUGAUGACAGUGUGGGUGCUGUAGGGAUUGAUACAUCUCUCUCUCUGAUGACAGUGUGGGUGCUGUAGGGAUUGAUACAUCUCUCUCUCUGAUGACAGUGUGUGUGCUGUAGGGGUUGAUACAUCUCUCUCUCUGAUGACAGUGUGGGUGCUGUAGGGAUUGAUACAUCUCUCUCUCUGAUGACAGUGUGGGAGGACAACCUAUUUCAAAAGGCCAGAAAGAAGGGACAGAAAGAGGGAGAGUAAGAGAACACAAGACAUGUUCACCCUUCCUUCAGCCCAGUCUCAGAAGAACGACUGAAUAAAGGGAAGAAAAGGCCAGGAGAAUAAGAGAAGGAAAGAAUAGUCAGUCAUUGAUUGAAGAACGAUAGAAGAGGGGGAAUAGAGGAGAAAGCCGUGGUGCUGUGAGUGGCUCCUGUGGUUGACCCUGGAAAGGACACAGUAAUAACCAUCGAUCCCAAUUACAACUGAGAAGCCCAAUGACCAGCAGCACUGUAGCUAGCUCUACCCAAUGAAACACACAUAUAUACACACACACACACACACAUAUAUAUAUAUAUAUAUACACACACACACAUGUAUAUACACACACACACACACAUAUAUAUAUAUAUAUAUAUAUAUAUAUAUAUAUACAUACACACACAGAUAUAUACAGUGGGGCAAAUAAGUAUUUAGUCAGCCACCAAUUGUGCAAGUUCUCCCACUUAAAAAGAUGAGGCCUAUAACAUUUGACCUCUGUCAUUGCCAACAAAGGGUAAAUAACAAAGUAUUGAGAUAAACUUUUGUUAUUGACCAAAUACUUAUUUUCCACCAUAAUUUGCAAAUUAAUUAAUUAAAAAUCCCACAAUGUGAUUUUCUGGAUUUUUUUUCUAAUUUUGUCUGUCAUAGUUGAAGUGUACCUAUGAUGAAAAUUACAGGCCUCUCGCAUAUUUUUAAGUGGGAGAACUUGCACAAUUGGUGGCUGACUAAAUACUUUUUUUGCCACACUGUACAUACACACACACNNNNNNNNNNNNNNNNNNNNNNNNNNNNNNNNNNNNNNNNNNNNNNNNNNNNNNNNNNNNNNNNNNNNNNNNNNNNNNNNNNNNNNNNNNNNNNNNNNNNAAAUUAUGUGGAUAUAUUGAAGCAACAUCUCAAGACAUCAGUCAGGAAGUUAAAGCUUGGUCGCAAAUGAGUAUUCCAAAUGGACAAUGACCCCAAGCAUACUUCCAAAGUUGUGGCAAAAUGGCUUAAGGACAACAAAGUCAAGGUAUUGGAGUGGCCAUCACAAAGCCCUGACCUCAAUCCUAUAGAAUAUGUGUGGGCAGAAUUGAAAAGCGUGUGUGAGCAAGGAGGCCUACUAACCUGACUCAGUUACACCAGCUCUGUCAGGAGGAAUGGGCCAAAAUUCACCAAACCUAUUGUGGGAAGCUUGUGGAAGGCUACCCGAAACGUUUGACCCAAGUUAAACAAUUUAAAGGCAAUGCUACCAAAUACUAAUUGAGUGUAUGUAAACUUCUGACCCACUGGGAAUGUGAUGAAAGAAAUAAAAGCUGAAAGAAAUAAUUCUCUCUGCAAAUAUUCUGACAUUUCACAUUCUUAAAAUAAAGUGGUGAUCCUAACUGACCUAAGACAGGCAAUUUUUAGAAGGAUUAAAUGUCAGGAAUUGUGAAAAACGGAGUUUAAAUGUAUUUGGCUGAGGUGUAUGUAAUCUUCUGACUGUACAUACUUCUACAUACUUCUAGAUAGGACUGACUUGAAGUAAGAUAUUUAUCGGCAAUGUGACAUAUGAACGUCUCCCCCUGUGUUCCCCAGGUGUCUGCUGUGAACAUUGUUACAUAUGAACGUCUCCCCUGUGUUCUCCAGGUGUCUGCUGUGAACAUUGUGACAUAUGAACGUCUCCCCCUGUGUUCUCCAGGUGUCUGCUGUGAACAUUGUGACAUAUGAACGUCUCCCGCUGUGUUCUCCAGGUGUCUGCUGUGAACAUUGUGACAUAUGAACGUCUCCCCCUGUGUUCUCCAGGUGUCUGCUGUGAACAUUGUGACAUAUGAACGUCUCCCCCUGUGUUCUCCAGGUCUCGGCUGUGAACAAGUACGACCCUCCUCUGGAGGUGGUGGCAGCCAGGGAGCACAUGAGUCACAUGGUAUACCAGCUGAUGCAGCCCCAGGUCAUCUACGAUAGGUAAAAACAGCACGAUCCGCCAACUACCCUGACUGGACUACCCUCCUUAGAACACGACUUUCAGCCAAUCAGAAGUCGAUACAAUGAAUAUUCUAAAUAAAGCUUACAUACUAAAUUAACUUGUUCUCGCAAUCUGACAUUUAUACUCUAUUUAUACAUCAUAGAAACUGACCUAUCCCGUGGCCUAGAAAAAUCUGAUUUUUCUGAUUGGCUUGUUGUCCUGAACAAUGGUAAAUUAGCUCCUAGACUAUUUAUCCUUGUGCUCUCCCUCUCUCUAAAUGGUGUACUGUGUCAUCCAUGUGUUGCUGUGUGCGUGUGUCCCAGCACCCUGCCCAGUCUUGACUCUCCCUACCCCAUGCUGGUGUUGACUGGGCCCCAGGCUUGUGGGAAGAGAGAGCUGGCCCACAAGCUCUGCCGAGAGUUCAACGACUUCUUCGGCUACGGGUGAGUCCCAAGUGCCAAAUGGUACCCUAUUUCCUACAUAGUAGUGCACUACUUUUGGCAAGCUGUGGCCAAACUCUGGGGGCUUGUGUGCAUCCAUAAAGCACACUUUUCUAUAUAUAGUGCACUACUUUUGGCCAGCUUGCUUCUCGCAUUUUGUGCUCAUUAGAAUAGACUUUAUCAAAGGAUGCAGUUACCUUAAAUAUGAGAAGGCCUGGUCACAGAGGUGAUGGCUAGGGUUAGGGUUAUUGUUUAGGAUGGUACUAAAUAUAUUUCACGAGGAUCCCCUCUGGUUCCCCAUCCAUAGAUACAUGAUACUUCCACACUGUUAAACCAGAUGGUCAAUACCUCCAACACAUGAGCAAUGGGGAGUGAUAAAUAACAAGGUUCCCCACCACGAGCAAUAGAAGAAAUAAGAAGCAGUAAAUAGUGGUAGAGAGAGCACGAACACUGGAGCGCUGGAAUCAAAAGAACAUCUGCUGGACAUGGCUUGUCUAUGGCUCUCACCUUAC